GAACGCUGGCGGCAUGCCUUACACAUGCAAGUCGAACGGCAGCACGGGAGCAAUCCUGGUGGCGAGUGGCGAACGGGUGAGUAAUAUAUCGGAACGUGCCCAGUCGUGGGGGAUAACGUAGCGAAAGCUACGCUAAUACCGCAUACGAUCUACGGAUGAAAGCGGGGGAUCGCAAGACCUCGCGCGAUUGGAGCGGCCGAUAUCAGAUUAGGUAGUUGGUGAGGUAAUGGCUCACCAAGGCGACGAUCCGUAACUGGUCUGAGAGGACGACCAGCCACACUGGAACUGAGACACGGUCCAGACUCCUACGGGAGGCAGCAGUGGGGAAUUUUGGACAAUGGACGCAAGUCUGAUCCAGCCAUUCCGCGUGCAGGAUGAAGGCCCUCGGGUUGUAAACUGCUUUUGUACGGAACGAAAAGGUUUCUAUUAAUACUAGGAGCUCAUGACGGUACCGUAAGAAUAAGCACCGGCUAACUACGUG
rnacentral:rRNA from 1 species